GAGAUACUAGUAAAAUAUUACAUAACUUUGUCAAAGUUAAAUUACAGGCGAGAACCCUGUGUAUCUCC
rnacentral:tRNA from 1 species